AUACCAUUUAUAUGCAGAUGACACGCAAAUCUACCUGUCCUCCCCUGAUCUCUCUCCGCCCACCUUGACUUGUGUGUCUGACUGCCUCUCUGCUAUUUCCAACUGGAUGGCUGCUCACUUCCUUAAACUCAACCUGUCCAAAACAGAACUUCUAGUUUUUCCUCCCCCAAGUGCUGCUACUCCUGUGUCUGUCUCCAUCCAAGUCAACGGCGCUACUAUCACCUCUACCUCCCAGGCUCGCUACCUAGGAGUU